UACGUAGGGGGCAAGCGUUUGUCCGGAAUCAUUGGGCGUAAAGAGCGCGUAGGCGGUCCGGUAAGUCCGCUCUGAAAGUCCGGGGCUCAACCCCGGGAGGCGGGCGGAUACUGUCGGGCUAGAGUCCGGAAGAGGCGAGUGGAAUUCCUGGUGUAGCGGUGAAAUGCGCAGAUAUCAGGAGGAACACCAAUGGCGAAGGCAGCUCGCUGGGACGGACUGACGCUGAGGCGCGAAAGCGUGGGGAGCAAACAGG
rnacentral:rRNA from 1 species